UUUUCAUUUUUAAUAAUAAAAAAAAAGGUAUUAAUAUGAAGAAAUGAAGUACCAAACACCAAAAAAACAAAAUUAUUUUACAAAGGAAUUAUUUGGUCUCUUCCCUUUUGAGAACUCUACAUGGGUUUCAGGUGAAAAUUAUCAUUAGUAAAUAAAUAACUGUUAUGGUUACAAUAAUACAUUCUACAGAUGCAUGUGAAACCUUAAGCUGUGUUGUAAAGAUGGUAGUGUACGAUCAGCUUCUAUAAUUGCUGUCCCUCUAAUGGGCUUUGGAAUUGGAAGACUCCAUUGCCUUUGACCUAAAAUAUGCAUUUUCCGCAUUACUCAACCGGUUUUGGAACAUGGUCCACUCACCCCUGCACCUGUCCCUCACCUGCCAUCAAUAGAGAGAGCUCAGCAUAUUUCAUAAACAAGUUAAAGAAAAAUAUCAAUCUUACAUCUGCAACUUCAAGCUACAGUUUUAUACAAGCAAACUUGUAAUUACAGCACCAGGAAAGCAUGAGAGCGACUGGCAGGGAAAGAAUUAAAUUUCUUGUACUAUUGUUGCAGUUGCCACUUGCUCCAACUUGAUAUCAAAACACACCAUGCAUCAUGAUUUUCCCCAAAAAAAAAAAGAAUACAAAGCAGAAAAAAUCUCUAUUAAUUAUUAUGCACAUGGAGUGUCUGAUAUGGAGUACCAUGUGACAGCACAGCAGGAAGUGCUAGACCUUUUCCCCACCGAGAGAAAAGGGGGAGAGAGUCAUAAAUACUGCUAUAAAAGAAAAGAGUAAAAUUUUGCUUUACAUACCCCUUUCCAAGGUGCCUUCCCAUUUUCUGACUGACCCUGGUUUCCAAGAGAGGGAACAGUUUGAUGAACAAUCCAUUGAGA
rnacentral:misc_RNA from 1 species